UUGACAGCUGUGGAGAGUGAAGGCUUCUAUCCACAAAACAGGUACAGGUCGGGCAGUGACAACACAAGAUUCCUCACACUGCCCCAUCAAUACGCCCUGCCCCUGACAUGGAGGGGGACCACCUCCAACAGGGAAAGGGUAGUUCAGCUUCCAUGUUUGUUGAAAUGCUUGGCCUCU
ensembl:misc_RNA